UCAUUUAGAUUGGUAAUUAUAUCC
rnacentral:siRNA from 1 species